CCCUUGUAUCCAAGCUGUUUGGAGGGCUUGGAGAUGCUGAUAGGACUGUCAGAUUCGGGGGUGGUGAUAUGUGUGCAAGUAAGGCACCUUAGUGUCGCUUUUAGAAUAUAGGUGUGGAAAUGAGAAUAGCUCUGGAAGCCCCAGGAGUUUAGGAGAAAAGAAAGAGCCCAGGAAAAGAGAAAGGCCGUAUUGCUGAACGCCACACCCUUGCCGCACCUAUUAACUAGGGGCUAACGAAAGAAAGGGUGUCGGAAUAUGAUGGAGAAGGCCGGUCGACAGUGACGUCGUGGGCGACGCCGGGUUGUGAGCGACCUUUCGAGCUUCCUCGAGUCCCUGAGUCUCUGUAGUGUCUCAGCUCCUGGAUGUCCUCCCUUAAAGGAGAGGAACAAUGCGCGCCGACUAGACUAGUCUCUUAGUUUCUUCGCCAGCGCAGACAAAUACGGUUUCAGUCCAAAAAACUACCAUUCCCAGAAGACAGCGGGACGUUCCUUGCUGCAUCUCUAUUGGUUUGCGUUUGUUACUCCCAGCCAAUAGAAAGUGAACUUCUUGACAAGUGCCAAAAUGGCGAUGCCUACGACCUAGAAGUGGAUUGUGCGUUGGCCGUCACAGCUGCCACCUGCUCAGAGUGAAAUCAUGAAGGUGGUCAACCUGAAGCAAGCCAUUUUGCAAGCCUGGAAGGAACGUUGGAGUGACUACCAGUGGGCAAUCAACAUGAAGAAAUUCUUUCCUAAAGGAGCCACCUGGGACAUUCUCAACCUGGCAGAUGCAUUACUAGAGCAGGCCAUGAUUGGACCAUCCCCCAAUCCUCUCAUCUUGUCCUACCUGAAGUAUGCCAUUAGUUCCCAGAUGGUGUCCUACUCUUCUGUCCUCACAGCCAUCAGUAAGUUUGAUGACUUUUCUCGGGACCUGUGUGUCCAGGCAUUGCUAGACAUCAUGGACAUGUUUUGUGACCGUCUGAGCUGUCACGGCAAAGCCGAGGAGUGCAUCGGACUGUGCCGAGCCCUUCUUAGCGCCCUCCACUGGCUGCUGCGCUGCACGGCAGCCUCUGCAGAGCGGCUCCGGGAGGGGCUGGAGGCUGGCACUCCAGCCGCUGGGGAGAAGCAGCUUGCCAUGUGCCUUCAGCGCCUGGAGAAAACCCUCAGCAGCACCAAGAACCGGGCCCUGCUGCACAUCGCCAAACUAGAGGAGGCCUCAUUGCACACAUCCCAGGGACUUGGGCAGGGUGGCACCCGAGCCAAUCAACCAACAGCUUCCUGGACUGCCAUCGAGCAUUCUCUCUUGAAACUUGGAGAGAUCCUGGCCAAUCUCAGCAACCCCCAGCUCCGGAGCCAGGCUGAGCAGUGCAGCACCCUCAUUAGGAGCAUCCCCAUGAUGCUGUCUGUGCAUGCGGAGCAGAUGAACAAGACCGGCUUCCCCACUGUCCACGCCGUGAUCCUGCUCGAGGGCACCAUGAACCUGACAGGCGAGACACAGUCCCUGGUGGAGCAGCUGACGAUGGUGAAGCGCAUGCAGCAUAUCCCCACCCCACUUUUUGUCCUGGAGAUCUGGAAAGCUUGCUUCGUGGGGCUCAUUGAGUCUCCCGAGGGUACGGAGGAGCUCAAGUGGACAGCUUUCACUUUCCUCAAGAUUCCACAGGUUUUGGUGAAGUUGAAGAAGUACUCUCAUGGGGACAAGGACUUCACUGAGGAUGUCAACUGUGCUUUUGAGUUCCUGCUGAAACUCACACCCUUGUUGGACAAAGCUGACCAGCGCUGCAACUGUGACUGUACAAACUUCCUGCUCCAAGAAUGUGGCAAGCAGGGGCUUCUGUCUGAGGCCAGUGUCAACAGCCUUAUGGCUAAGCGCAAAGCAGACCGAGAGCACGCACCCCAGCAGAAAUCGGGAGAGAAUGCCAACAUCCAGCCCAACAUCCAGCUGAUCCUCCGGGCAGAGCCCACUGUCACAAACAUCCUCAAGACGAUGGAUGCAGACCACUCUAAGUCCCCGGAGGGACUGCUGGGAGUCCUGGGCCACAUGCUGUCCGGGAAGAGUCUGGACUUGCUGCUGGCUGCCGCUGCUGCCACUGGAAAGCUGAAAUCCUUCGCCCGGAAAUUCAUCAAUUUGAAUGAAUUCACAACCUAUGGCAGCGAAGAAAGCACCAAACCGGCCUCCGUCCGGGCCCUGCUGUUUGACAUCUCCUUCCUCAUGCUGUGCCAUGUGGCCCAGACCUAUGGUUCAGAGGUGAUUCUGUCUGAGUCGCGCACAGGAGCUGACGUGCCGUUCUUCGAGACCUGGAUGCAGACCUGCAUGCCUGAGGAGGGCAAGAUCCUGAACCCUGACCACCCCUGCUUCCGCCCCGACUCCACCAAAGUGGAGUCCCUGGUGGCCCUGCUCAACAACUCCUCGGAGAUGAAGCUGGUGCAGAUGAAGUGGCACGAGGCCUGUCUCAGCAUCUCAGCCGCCAUCUUGGAAAUCCUCAAUGCCUGGGAGAAUGGGGUCCUGGCCUUCGAGUCCAUCCAGAAAAUCACUGAUAACAUCAAAGGGAAGGUAUGCAGUCUGGCGGUGUGUGCUGUGGCUUGGCUUGUGGCCCACGUCCGGAUGCUGGGGCUGGAUGAGCGUGAGAAGUCGCUGCAGAUGAUCCGCCAGCUGGCAGGGCCGCUGUUUAGUGAGAACACCCUGCAGUUCUACAAUGAGAGGGUGGUGAUCAUGAACUCGAUCCUGGAGCGCAUGUGUGCCGACGUGCUGCAGCAGACAGCCACGCAGAUCAAGUUUCCCUCCACCGGGGUGGACACGAUGCCCUACUGGAACCUGCUGCCCCCUAAGCGGCCCAUCAAGGAGGUGCUGACGGACAUCUUUGCCAAAGUGCUGGAGAAGGGCUGGGUGGACAGCCGCUCCAUCCACAUCUUCGACACUCUGCUGCACAUGGGCGGCGUCUACUGGUUCUGCAACAACCUGAUCAAGGAGCUGCUGAAGGAGACGCGGAAGGAGCACGCGCUGCGGGCAGUGGAACUGCUCUACUCCAUCUUCUGCCUGGACAUGCAGCAAGUGACCCUGGUCCUGCUGGGCCACAUCUUGCCUGGCCUGCUCACUGACUCCUCCAAGUGGCACAGCCUCAUGGACCCCCCAGGCACUGCUCUUGCCAAGCUGGCCGUAUGGUGUGCCCUCAGUUCCUACUCCUCCCACAAGGGGCAGGCAUCCACCCGCCAAAAGAAGAGACACCGCGAAGACAUCGAGGACUAUAUCAGCCUCUUCCCCCUGGACGAUGUGCAGCCUUCGAAGUUGAUGCGACUGCUGAGCUCCAAUGAGGAUGAUGCCAACAUCCUUUCAAGCCCCAACCGGUCCAUGAGCAGCUCCCUCUCAGCCUCUCAGCUCCACACCGUCAACAUGCGGGACCCUCUGAACCGAGUCCUGGUCCCGCCUUCUCCCAGAGUGUGACCUCACCCCCUCUCAUGGAACUCCCUCCUGUCACUCUCCACAGCCAACCUCUUCCUGCUCAUCUCCUCCAUCCUGGGGUCGCGCACCGCUGGGCCCCACACCCAGUUCGUGCAGUGGUUCAUGGAGGAGUGUGUGGACUGCCUGGAGCAGGGUGGCCGCGGCAGUGUCCUGCAGUUCAUGCCCUUCACCACCGUGUCGGAACUGGUGAAGGUGUCAGCCAUGUCCAGCCCCAAGGUGGUUCUGGCCAUCACGGACCUCAGCCUGCCCCUGGGCCGCCAGGUGGCUGCUAAAGCCAUUGCUGCACUCUGAGGAGCUUGGCAUGGCCGCAGUGGGGGCUGGGGGCUGGGGACUGGCACAGCCCCAGGUGCCUCCAAGGGAAGCAGUGAGGAAAGAUGAGGCAUCGUGGCUCACAUCCGCUCCACAUGGUGCAAGAGCCUCUGGCAGCUUCUAAUUCCCCGCUUCUGACUCCUGACCUCCAGGAUGUCUCCUGGUUUCCUCUUUUGAAAUUUCUUCUCUGUCUGCCAGCACCUGAGGAGUGUGAGCAGCCUGGACCACAAGCCCAGUGGUCACCCCUGUGUGCGCCCGCCCCAGCCCAGGGGUAAUCUUACUUCUGAGGAACUUUCUAGACGCAGAGAGUGUGUGUGUGUGUGUGUGUGUGUGUGUAUAUAUUUUGUAAUAUGUGAGGGAAAUCUACCUUUGUUCAUGUGUAAAUAAAGCUCCUCGUGGAUCCCUUUG